GAAUCUGCCUUUUGGUCGGGGACAACCACUGGAAACGGUGGCUAAUACCGGAUAAGCCUGCGGGUAAAAGAUUAAUUGCCAAGAGAGGAGCUCGCGUCUGAUUAGCUAGUUGGUGAGGUAAAGGCUCACCAAGGCGGCGAUCAGUAGCUGGUCUGAGAGGAUGAUCAGCCACACUGGGACUGAGACACGGCCCAGACUCCUACGGGAGGCAGCAGUGGGGAAUUUUCCGCAAUGGGCGAAAGCCUGACGGAGCAAUACCGCGUGAGGGAGGAAGGCUCUUGGGUUGUAAACCUCUUUUCUCAGGGAAGAAUGAUGACGGUACCUGAGGAAUAAGCAUCGGCUAACUCCGUGCCAGCAGCCGCGGUAAUACGGAGGAUGCAAGCGUUAUCCGGAAUGAUUGGGCGUAAAGCGUCCGCAGGUGGCAAUGUAAGUCUGCUGUCAAAGCGUCUGGCUCAACCAGAUAAAGGCAGUGGAAACUGAAGCGCUAGAGUGUGGCAGGGGUAGAGGGAAUUCCCGGUGUAGCGGUGAAAUGCGUAGAGAUCGGGAAGAACAUCGGUGGCGAAAGCGCUCUACUGGGCCACAACUGACACUCAGGGACGAAAGCUAGGGGAGCG
rnacentral:rRNA from 1 species